rnacentral:lncRNA from 1 species
GCUAUGCUCACUUGUUCCUUUGUAAUAUAACCCCUUGCCCUGUUUAGGAUAGAAUCUUCCAUGGAAGGGCCUUGUGUGUGUCCCCUCCUCUUACUGUACCCUAGGGUGUGGCCUACCCAGGUAUCAGUCAACCUGCUGACAGUGGACAUCAUGAAGAUAGACUCAGCCCCCUGAAACCUGACCCCUUGCCUCAUUUGAAUAGCUUCUCCUCAAUAAAAGGGGUCAGCAUGUGCUCUCGCUUUCUCUCUCUUUCUGCAGACCCUUAAGGUCAGAGGAGCCGUCACAGCGACCCCAAAGAAAAAGGUAUUUGUGUCUCUUGUGUGGUUAUUUUGCACAGCACAGUUAGCCCAGUUUAACUAGAGUGACCCCUGAGCCUUUUAGUCGUGAGAACAGAAACCCGGCACCUAUCCAUGAACAUGGGAGGUCUCUCCAUAUUCUGAAGUCUUCUUCUAUUUCUUUCUUCAGUGUUCUGUAGUAUUCAUUGUAGAGGUCUUUCACUUUCUUGGUUAGACUAUUCCUAGGUAUGUAUGUAUGUACGUAUGUAUGUAUAUAUCUAUUUUUGAGUUCAUGAGAUUGUUUUCCUGAUUUCUUUCUCAGAAGAUUUAUUGUUUCUACAUAGAAAAACUAUUGAUUUUUGUAUGUUGAUUUUGUGUGUUGAUUUUGUUUGUUUUGUUACUGGAGAUUGAAUUCAAGGGCACUUAGCCAUUGAGCCACAUCCCCAUCCCUUUUUUAUUUUUUAUUUUGAGACAGGGUUUCACUAAAUUUUAUAGGAUCUCACUAAAAAACCUAUGCAACUUAGUGAGGCUGAGCUGAACUCAACUAAGCUGAGGCUGGUGUUG